AAUGGGUCUCGAGCUCUACUACAACUGAAAGGUUCUCCCUUACUAGCUUUCUCUUUCUAUAUAAUCAAUCUGGCCAUUAAAUAUUAAUUUAAUUGAUUGUUCUUUCUGUAAUUAGUUCCAUAUUAUUGAGUCUGUAAACGAAUCAGCUAUGUGAAUUGUGAUGAAUUUGAUUGCAUUAUUCUUUGCAAGUACUAGCUUUGGAAAUUGGCAGAAUUGGUUGCUGUUUAUUCUACCGGCUCUUUUCUUUAAUCAGAUGAAAUUCCAUUUUGGUUCCAUUCUCGGUUCCAAUGGAGUAAUCUCCUGAAAGAAUUCCUUUGGAUUUCUUUUGGGCAGGUUGAAAAUUGUCCUUUAAUUGAUGUUGGAAGAGUUGGUGGUUUGAAGUAACGUCUGAAUGAACAUAUCAGUUUUUAUACUGCAUAUUUCCAAUCCAGAGAGAGAGAGAGAAACUACUGUCUUAUUUACUAUGCACUUAGCUUUAGAGUAAUGAUGCUAUAAAGUUUCUUUGGAUACAAACUCAAAUAGUUCUUUUUUAGUUUGUUAGGAUGAGUAUUAUGUUUAUGUAGUUGUGUUUUAUUGAGGUUAUUUGGAUCUCUUCCAAAGUGUCAAUGCCAAUGUUUAUUUCUAAUGGCAAAGGAAGGAGAGAGGGAGAGACGGAAAGAGAGAGAGAGAUAGGUACAGUAAUUACAAAACGACUUGAAACAAGGGGAGGAGGAUUCUUGAAGAAAAUGA
rnacentral:misc_RNA from 1 species